rnacentral:rRNA from 1 species
UACGUAGGGGUCAAGCGUUGUCCGGAAUCAUUGGGCGUAAAGAGCGUGUAGGUGGCUCGGUAAGUCCGCUGUGAAAGUCCAGGGCUCAACCCUGGAAAGCCGGUGGAAACUGUCGAGCUCGAGUCCGGAAGAGGCGAGUGGAACUCCUGGUGUAGCGGUGAAAUGCGCAGAUAUCAGGAGGAACACCAAUGGCGAAGGCAGCUCGCUGGGACGGUACUGACACUGAGACGCGAAAGCGUGGGGAGCAAACAGG